CCUACGGGAGGCUGCAGUGAGGAAUAUUGGUCAAUGGGCGGGAGCCUGAACCAGCCAAGUCGCGUGAGGGACGACGGUCCUGUGGAUUGUAAACCUCUUUUGUCGGGGAACAAAGGCGCCCACGGGUGGGCGGAUGAGUGUACCCGAAGAAAAAGCAUCGGCUAACUCCGUGCCAGCAGCCGCGGUAAUACGGAGGAUGCGAGCGUUAUCCGGAUUUACUGGGGGUAAAGGGAGCGUAGACGGUUGUGCAAGUCUGAAGUGAAAGCCCGCGGCUCAACUGCGGAACGGCUUUGGAAACUGGGUAACUGGAGUGCUGGAGAGGUAAGCGGAAUUCCUGGUGUAGCGGUGAAAUGCGUAGAGAUCAGGAGGAACACCGGCGGCGAAGGCGGCUUACUGGACAGUAACUGACGUUGAGGCUCGAAAGCGUGGGGAGCAAACAGGAUUAGAUACCCCAGUAGUC
rnacentral:rRNA from 1 species